UGUCAUCUGAUUGGAUUUUAUGUUUGAGCUUAUGGAUUGGUUCAUGGUGGAUUUGAAUUGGCUCUCAGAGCUGCUUGGGUGAAGCUGAUGACUGUGUGCAUUGCAGGACUAUAACAACAAAAUGGCGCAAUUACAUCUAUUCGUGGACUUUGACAUAGAAACAAGGCUUUGGAAUUGGUAAUGGGAUGUGACUGUUUGUGCGUGAACAAAGGCUUGCCGUUGCCCUUGCUGCUGUUGUGGGACAGAGCCAGCGUAUAUGUACGGAAGUUGCGGUAUACAUUGUUCUCUCUCCCUCUCUUUAUUCAGUUUUUUUUUCUUUAAUAGAAUUUCGUCAAAUUUUUUGGUUCUGGAUUUUUUGUGUUGAAGAAAUUUACAAUAAAGGUGUUCUAUGAUGUUAUGCUGUGAUAUUGUAAUGUUGCUGUUCUAGUCUUUUGUUUCUCUUUUCUUUCUUUUGUAUGUGUUUCUGGUGGCUCGCUUGGCCACUCUUGGUUCUCUGUAGCCGUUUGGCUCAGUCACAAUAAAGUUUAGUCUUUUUUUUUUUUUUU